rnacentral:rRNA from 1 species
UACGUAGGGGGCAAGCGUUGUCCGGAAUCAUUGGGCGUAAAGAGCGUGUAGGCGGCCAGAUAAGUCCGCUGUGAAAUCUCGAGGCUCAACUUCGAGCUGUCGGUGGAAACUGUCUGGCUAGAGUCCGGAAGAGGAGAAUGGAAUUCCUGGUGUAGCGGUGAAAUGCGCAGAUAUCGGGAGGAACACCGGUGGCGAAGGCGGUUCUCUGGGCCUGUUCUGACGCUGAGGAGCGAAAGCGUGGGGAGCAAACAGG